rnacentral:tRNA from 1 species
GAGGGUAUAGCAAAGUGGUAGAGUGUGUGCUUAGCAUGCACAAGGUCCUGGGUUCAAUCUCCAGUACCUCCA